rnacentral:SRP_RNA from 1 species
GCCGGACGCGGUGGCGCGCGCCUGUAGUCCCAGCUACUCGGGAGGCUGAGAUGGGAGGAUCGCUUGAGCCCAGGAGUUCUGGGCUGUAGUGCGCUAUGCCGAUCGGGUGUCCGCACUAAGUUCGGCAUCAAUAUGGUGACCUCCCAGGAGCGGGGGACCACCAGGUUGCCUAAGGAGGGGUGAACCGGCCCAGGUCGGAAACGGAGCAGGUCAAAACUCCCGUGCUGAGCAGUAGUGGGAUCGCGCCUGUGAAUAGCCACUGCACUCCAGCCUGGGCAAAAAAAAAAAAAA